AUGCAAGUCGAGCGGGGGAAGGUAGCUUGCUACCGGACCUAGCGGCGGACGGGUGAGUAAUGCUUAGGAAUCUGCCUAUUAGUGGGGGACAACAUCUCGAAAGGGAUGCUAAUACCGCAUACGUCCUACGGGAGAAAGCAGGGGAUCUUCGGACCUUGCGCUAAUAGAUGAGCCUAAGUCGGAUUAGCUAGUUGGUGGGGUAAAGGCCUACCAAGGCGACGAUCUGUAGCGGGUCUGAGAGGAUGAUCCGCCACACUGGGACUGAGACACGGCCCAGACUCCUACGGGAGGCAGCAGUGGGGAAUAUUGGACAAUGGGGGGAACCCUGAUCCAGCCAUGCCGCGUGUGUGAAGAAGGCCUUAUGGUUGUAAAGCACUUUAAGCGAGGAGGAGGCUACUUUAGUUAAUACCUAGAGAUAGUGGACGUUACUCGCAGAAUAAGCACCGGCUAACUCUGUGCCAGCAGCCGCGGUAAUACAGAGGGUGCGAGCGUUAAUCGGAUUUACUGGGCGUAAAGCGUGCGUAGGCGGCUUAUUAAGUCGGAUGUGAAAUCCCCGAGCUUAACUUGGGAAUUGCAUUCGAUACUGGUGAGCUAGAGUAUGGGAGAGGAUGGUAGAAUUCCAGGUGUAGCGGUGAAAUGCGUAGAGAUCUGGAGGAAUACCGAUGGCGAAGCAGCCAUCUGGCCUAAUACUGACGCUGAGUACGAAAGCAUGGGGAGCAA
rnacentral:rRNA from 1 species